UACGGGGGGGGCAAGCGUUGUUCGGAAUUACUGGGCGUAAAGGGCUCGUAGGUGGCCAACUAAGUCGGACGUGAAAUCCCUCAGCUUAACUGGGGAACUGCGUCCGAUACUGGAUGGCUUGAGUUUGGGAGAGGGAUGCGGAAUUCCAGGUGUAGCGGUGAAAUGCGUAGAUAUCAAGAGGAACACCAGAGGCGAAGGCGGAUUGCUGGGCUGAUACUGACGCUGAGGCGCGAAAGCUAGGGGAGCAAACGGG
rnacentral:rRNA from 1 species